UAGGGUGAACCUGCGGAAGGAUCAUUACCGAGUGUAGGGUUCCUAGCGAGCCCAACCUCCCACCCGUGUUUACUGUACCUUAGUUGCUUCGGCGGGCCCGCCAUUCAUGGCCGCCGGGGGCUCUCAGCCCCGGGCCCGCGCCCGCCGGAGACACCACGAACUCUGUCUGAUCUAGUGAAGUCUGAGUUGAUUGUAUCGCAAUCAGUUAAAACUUUCAACAAUGGAUCUCUUGGUUCCGGCAUCGAUGAAGAACGCAGCGAAAUGCGAUAACUAGUGUGAAUUGCAGAAUUCCGUGAAUCAUCGAGUCUUUGAACGCACAUUGCGCCCCCUGGUAUUCCGGGGGGCAUGCCUGUCCGAGCGUCAUUGCUGCCCAUCAAGCACGGCUUGUGUGUUGGGUCGUCGUCCCCUCUCCGGGGGGGACGGGCCCCAAAGGCAGCGGCGGCACCGCGUCCGAUCCUCGAGCGUAUGGGGCUUUGUCACCCGCUCUGUAGGCCCGGCCGGCGCUUGCCGAACGCAAAUCAAUCUUUUUCCAGGUUGACCUCGGAUCAGGUAGGGAUACCCGCUGAACUUAAGCAUAUCAAUAAGCCGGGAGG
rnacentral:rRNA from 1 species